GCACUACUGAGGUGUCCCAUAAUAGGACGAAACGGCCGUUCAGUGC
rfam:Schistosoma mansoni strain Puerto Rico chromosome 1, complete genome